rnacentral:rRNA from 1 species
CAUGCAAGUCGAGCGGCAGCAGGUCCUUCGGGAUGCUGGCGAGCGGCGGACGGGUGAGUAACACGUGGGAAUCUGCCCAUCGGUGGGGGAUAGCCCGAGGAAACUCGGAUUAAUACCGCAUACGCCCUACGGGGCAAAGUAGACCUCUGAUUUAAGUUUACGCCGAUGGAUGAGCCCGCGGCCGAUUAGCUAGUUGGUGGGGUAAAGGCCUACCAAGGCAACGAUCGGUAGCUGGUCUGAGAGGACGAUCAGUCACACCGGAACUGAGACACGGUCCGGACUCCUACGGGAGGCAGCAGUGGGGAAUAUUGGACAAUGGGCGAAAGCCUGAUCCAGCAAUGCCGCGUGGGUGAAGAAGGCUUGAGGGUUGUAAAGCCCUUUCAGCAGGGAGGAACACCGUACGGUUAAUACUCGUGCGUCUUGACGUUACCUGCGGAAGAAGCACCGGCUAACUCCGUGCCAGCAGCCGCGGUAAUACGGAGGGUGCAAGCGUUAAUCGGAAUUACUGGGCGUAAAGCGCGCGUAGGCGGUCGGAUAAGUCGGAUGCGANAGCCCCGGGCUCAACCUGGGAAUUGCAUUCGAUACUGUCUGGCUA